GAAUGCUGACAUAAGUAACGAUAAAGCGGGUGAAAAGCCCGCUCGCCGGAAGACCAAGGGUUCCUGUCCAACGUUAAUCGGGGCAGGGUGAGUCGACCCCUAAGGCGAGGCCGAAAGGCGUAGUCGAUGGGAAACGGGUUAAUAUUCCCGUACUUGGUGUUACUGCGAAGGGGGGACGGAGAAGGCUAUGUUGGCCGGGCGACGGUUGUCCCGGUUUAAGCGUGUAGGUGUGUGUUCCAGGUAAAUCCGGUUCACUUUAACACUGAGGCGUGACGACGAGGCACUACGGUGCUGAAGCAACAAAUGCCCUGCUUCCAGGAAAAGCCUCUAAGCAUCAGGUAACAUCAAAUCGUACCCCAAACCGACACAGGUGGUCAGGUAGAGAAUACCAAGGCGCUUGAGAGAACUCGGGUGAAGGAACUAGGCAAAAUGGUGCCGUAACUUCGGGAGAAGGCACGCUGACACGUAGGUGAAGUGAUUUACUCAUGGAGCUGAAGUCAGUCGAAGAUACCAGCUGGCUGCAACUGUUUAUUAAAAACACAGCACUGUGCAAACACGAAAGUGGACGUAUACGGUGUGACGCCUGCCCGGUGCCGGAAGGUUAAUUGAUGGGGUCAGCGCAAGCGAAGCUCCUGAUCGAAGCCCCGGUAAACGGCGGCCGUAACUAUAACGGUCCUAAGGUAGCGAAAUUCCUUGUCGGGUAAGUUCCGACCUGCACGAAUGGCGUAAUGAUGGCCAGGCUGUCUCCACCCGAGACUCAGUGAAAUUGAACUCGCUGUGAAGAUGCAGUGUACCCGCGGCAAGACGGAAAGACCCCGUGAACCUUUACUAUAGCUUGACACUGAACAUUGAGCCUUGAUGUGUAGGAUAGGUGGGAGGCUUUGAAGUGUGGACGCCAGUCUGCAUGGAGCCGACCUUGAAAUACCACCCUUUAAUGUUUGAUGUUCUAACGUGGACCCGUUACCCGGGUUGCGGACAGUGUCUGGUGGGUAGUUUGACUGGGGCGGUCUCCUCCUAAAGAGUAACGGAGGAGCACGAAGGUUGGCUAAUCCUGGUCGGACAUCAGGAGGUUAGUGCAAUGGCAUAAGCCAGCUUGACUGCGAGCGUGACGGCGCGAGCAGGUGCGAAAGCAGGUCAUAGUGAUCCGGUGGUUCUGAAUGGAAGGGCCAUCGCUCAACGGAUAAAAGGUACUCCGGGGAUAACAGGCUGAUACCGCCCAAGAGUUCAUAUCGACGGCGGUGUUUGGCACCUCGAUGUCGGCUCAUCACAUCCUGGGGCUGAAGUAGGUCCCAAGGGUAUGGCUGUUCGCCAUUUAAAGUGGUACGCGAGCUGGGUUUAGAACGUCGUGAGACAGUUCGGUCCCUAUCUGCCGUGGGCGCUGGAGAACUGAGGGGGGCUGCUCCUAGUACGAGAGGACCGGAGUGGACGCAUCACUGGUGUUCGGGUUGUCAUGCCAAUGGCACUGCCCGGUAGCUAAAUGCGGAAGAGAUAAGUGCUGAAAGCAUCUAAGCACGAAACUUGCCCCGAGAUGAGUUCUCCCUGAGACUUAAAGUCUCCUGAAGGAACGUUGAAGACGACGACGUUGAUAGGCCGGGUGUGUAAGCGCAGCGAUGCGUUGAGCUAACCGGUACUAAUGAACCGUGAGGCUUAACCUUACAAC
rnacentral:rRNA from 1 species